GCCGUAGGUUCGCCACGACCGACCUAGGAUCUCUCCCCUUUCGACUCAGGGUGCUGCAAAGCCAGCGCUCCAUUCCUGCUGGGCUCAGUCACACGAAGGAUGUCCCCUCCAGGCUGCAGGUAAUGAUGACUGGCGGUGGCAAUGAGGACACCAUGACGGUAAGCCCCAGACCACCCAAGCAUCACGUGCCCAUAAACACCAGGCCGGAAGCGGGAAAGCACCUGAGGCUGUGGCAGGCCGGCGGCCGCAAAAGUUUCUUGUCUCCAAAUAUUGGUCUGAGCACCUGCUCUCUCUUCUCUCCCAUCAUCUGGGAAGAUUCCAAAGGAAGCUGCGCCGAACCACACGCCGUGGAUCUUCACACCCUGGGCUCCUGUCCACGUGAAAUUUGACAGUCUUUGAAAACUGACACCACAUGAUUGUCAAGACGACCUCCAACGCUCGCAUUUAACACACCAGCGCUGGACAUCUGGGCUGAGCAAGGACAGAAUCCACCAGAACCUUCUGGGAAAAGCUGCUAGUCACUGAGAUGCAUGGUAUCAGCUGGUCUCUAAAUAAUCUCCACUCAGCAAAGCAACCAGACUCUGGGGACAGUGAUGGCAAACCCAGACCCUUUGUAUAAGGAAAUAAAAAUAGUGUCUACAGCGGCAGAUAAUCUGUAUUCUGAGGAGAUCUGCAAAUUAAAGAUUUAUCUGACCAAGAGGAUGGUGGCACUUUGAGGACAGAGUGGUAUGGUGGGUAAUGAAAUGGCCUGGAAUUUGGGGCAAUGAUAAUUAUAACCUGCCUAAGUUAUAAGUAAAAAUGGGUGACUUUUAUCCCUAUCCCAUUUAAAAGGGAAGGGAUCAGUGGCUGAAAAAUGAUGAUGAACUUGUAGUUGUUUUGUAAUUCUUUCAGUGCAAGAUGUAUUGGUAUCAUGAAUGGAAAAAUGAAUUUGUAUAUUGUCUUAAGAAACCUAUUUGGCCAUAAUAAACAAAAUAAAAUGAACAUGUAUCCUUUGACCUAAAAAAAAAAAAGAAAAAAAAAGAAAAGAAAGAUGGACCCAUGCUCAAGAGAAUGUGCUCUUUGAGCUGCAUUGAUGGGAAAUGCUUAACUGCAAAGAGGAAUCACAAGAACAGAAUCAAAUGUCAAACUUCAUAGCUGAGUGUGGUGGGGCACACCUGUGACCCCAGCACUUUAGGAAGCUAAGGCUGGAGGGUCACAAGUUCAAGCCCAGCCUGGGCAACUUAGCCACUUUAUGGCUUAAUGAGACCCUGUCUCAAAAUUUAAAUUAAAAUAAAAUCCCCAGGGGAGAUGUAGCUCAGUAUGAAGGCCCUGGGUUCAGUUCCCAGUAACAUAGGCGCGCGUGGGUACACACACACAUGCACACACGCACACACACACAUACACACACACACACACACACACGCAUGCCAAACAUCACUCGUAUUCAUUUUAUAUUUAAAAAGCUGAACUUCUAAGUAUUGUCCACAUACAACUAUGAGAUGACGAGAAUUAUUAUACUGUAUUUAAAUGCCAGUGUUGAAUACUGGUUCUGGGGAUCCCACUUCC
rnacentral:lncRNA from 1 species